rnacentral:rRNA from 1 species
GGCGGCGUGCCUAAUACAUGCAAGUCGAGCGAACAGAAGGGAGCUUGCUCCCGGAUGUUAGCGGCGGACGGGUGAGUAACACGUGGGUAACCUGCCUGUAAGACUGGGAUAACUCCGGGAAACCGGAGCUAAUACCGGAUAGUUCCUUGAACCGCAUGGUUCAAGGAUGAAAGACGGUUUCGGCUGUCACUUACAGAUGGACCCGCGGCGCAUUAGCUAGUUGGUGGGGUAAUGGCUCACCAAGGCGACGAUGCGUAGCCGACCUGAGAGGGUGAUCGGCCACACUGGGACUGAGACACGGCCCAGACUCCUACGGGAGGCAGCAGUAGGGAAUCUUCCGCAAUGGACGAAAGUCUGACGGAGCAACGCCGCGUGAGUGAUGAAGGUUUUCGGAUCGUAAAGCUCUGUUGUUAGGGAAGAACAAGUGCGAGAGUAACUGCUCGCACCUUGACGGUACCUAACCAGAAAGCCACGGCUAACUACGUGCCAGCAGCCGCGGUAAUACGUAGGUGGCAAGCGUUGUCCGGAAUUAUUGGGCGUAAAGGGCUCGCAGGCGGUUUCUUAAGUCUGAUGUGAAAGCCCCCGGCUCAACCGGGGAGGGUCAUUGGAAACUGGGAAACUUGAGUGCAGAAGAGGAGAGUGGAAUUCCACGUGUAGCGGUGAAAUGCGUAGAGAUGUGGAGGAACACCAGUGGCGAAGGCGACUCUCUGGUCUGUAACUGACGCUGAGGAGCGAAAGCGUGGGGAGCGAACAGGAUUAGAUACCCUGGUAGUCCACGCCGUAAACGAUGAGUGCUAAGUGUUAGGGGGUUUCCGCCCCUUAGUGCUGCAGCUAACGCAUUAAGCACUCCGCCUGGGGAGUACGGUCGCAAGACUGAAACUCAAAGGAAUUGACGGGGGCCCGCACAAGCGGUGGAGCAUGUGGUUUAAUUCGAAGCAACGCGAAGAACCUUACCAGGUCUUGACAUCCUCUGACAACCCUAGAGAUAGGGCUUUCCCUUCGGGGACAGAGUGACAGGUGGUGCAUGGUUGUCGUCAGCUCGUGUCGUGAGAUGUUGGGUUAAGUCCCGCAACGAGCGCAACCCUUGAUCUUAGUUGCCAGCAUUUAGUUGGGCACUCUAAGGUGACUGCCGGUGACAAACCGGAGGAAGGUGGGGAUGACGUCAAAUCAUCAUGCCCCUUAUGAC